rnacentral:rRNA from 1 species
GUCUUUAAUUGUCCAUCAUUAGUUGGGCACUUUAAAGAGGACUGCCGGUGUUAAGCCGGAGGAAGGUGGGGGAGUGACGUCAAGUCCUCAUGGCCUUUAUGCCCAGGGCUACACACGUGCUACAAUGGGCGGUACAAAGAGAAGCAACCUCGCGAGGGUGAGCAAAUCUCAAAAAGCCGUUCUCAGUUCGGAUUGAAGUCUGCAACUCGACUUCAUGAAGUCGGAAUCGCUAGUAAUCGCGGAUCAGCAUGCCGCGGUGAAUACGUUCCCGGGCCUU